CGAGUGGAUCCUCCGGCUCCGCGCCAAACCACCGCGCCGUGCCGACAGCUGCUCGGUGCGCAUCAGUCCCGCCGCUCUAUCAACCCAUACUCCACGAGCAAACAAAAAAAAGCAGCAACAAGGAACAAUGGAACACAUCCAAUGGGUAUCUUUAGUCUUCGCUGCUCAUUUCUGCUUGAAGAUGCUCAUCUGUUAAGAAGCUGAGUGAACAUUCCAACUCCUGACGGUGGUGAUGAAGGCCUCCAUUUACCAGCUGCUGCUCCGAUGAGGCAGCGUGUGGCUGCUUCAUUUCAGGGACUACAUUUCAAAACAAAUAUUUUUACAACUUUAAAGCUGACUGUCAGUGUACCUGAAUAAAAACAAAAUUGAAUUGUUUAAGUGAAUAAAUUGGGGAA